rnacentral:rRNA from 1 species
GUUUGAUCCUGGCUCAGAUUGAACGCUGGCGGCAGGCCUAACACAUGCAAGUCGAACGGUAACAGGAAACAGCUUGCUGUUUCGCUGACGAGUGGCGGACGGGUGAGUAAUGUCUGGGAAACUGCCUGAUGGAGGGGGAUAACUACUGGAAACGGUAGCUAAUACCGCAUAACGUCGCAAGACCAAAGAGGGGGACCUUCGGGCCUCUUGCCAUCGGAUGUGCCCAGAUGGGAUUAGCUAGUAGGUGGGGUAACGGCUCACCUAGGCGACGAUCCCUAGCUGGUCUGAGAGGAUGACCAGCCACACUGGAACUGAGACACGGUCCAGACUCCUACGGGAGGCUGCAGUGGGGAAUAUUGCACAAUGGGGGAAACCCUGAUGCAGCAACGCCGCGUGAGUGAUGACGGCCUUCGGGUUGUAAAGUACUUUCAGCGGGGAGGAAGGGAGUAAAGUUAAUACCUUUGCUCAUUGACGUUACCCGCAGAAGAAGCACCGGCUAACUACGUGCCAGCAGCCGCGGUAAUACGUAGGUGGCAAGCGUUAUCCGGAUUUAUUGGGCGUAAAGCGAGCGCAGGCGGUUUUUUAAGUCUGAUGUGAAAGCCCUCGGCUUAACCGAGGAAGUGCAUCGGAAACUGGGAAACUUGAGUGCAGAAGAGGACAGUGGAACUCCAUGUGUAGCGGUGAAAUGCGUAGAUAUAUGGAGGAACACCAGUGGCGAAGGCGGCUCUCUGGUCUGUAACUGACGCUGAGGCUCGAAAGCGUGGGGAGCAAACAGGAUUAGAUACCCUGGUAGUCCACGCCGUAAACGAUGAGUGCUAAGUGUUGGAGGGUUUCCGCCCUUCAGUGCUGCAGCAAACGCAUUAAGCACUCCGCCUGGGGAGUACGACCGCAAGGUUGAAACUCAAAGGAAUUGACGGGGGCCCGCACAAGCGGUGGAGUAUGUGGUUUAAUUCGACGCAACGCGAAGAACCUUACCAGGUCUUGACAUCCUUUGACCACUCUAGAGAUAGAGCUUCCCCUUCGGGGGCAAAGUGACAGGUGGUGCAUGGUUGUCGUCAGCUCGUGUUGGGAGAUGUUGGGUUAAGUCCCGCAACGAGCGCAACCCUUAUUGUUAGUUGCCAUCAUUUAGUUGGGCACUCUAGCGAGACUGCCGGUGACAAACCGGAGGAAGGUGGGGAUGACGUCAAAUCAUCAUGCCCCUUGUGACCUGGGCUACACACGUGCUACAAUGGGAAGUACAACGAGUCGCUAGACCGCGAGGUCAUGCAAAUCUCUUAAAGCUUCUCUCAGUUCGGAUUGCAGGCUGCAACUCGCCUGCAUGAAGCCGGAAUCGCUAGUAAUCGUGGAUCAGAAUGCCACGGUGAAUACGUUCCCGGGCCUUGUACACACCGCCCGUCACACCAUGGGAGUGGGUUGCAAAAGAAGUAGGUAGCUUAACCUUCGGGAGGGCGCUUACCACUUUGUGAUUCAUGACUGGGGUGAAGUCGUAACAAGGUAACC